CCUACGGGGGGCAGCAGUCGAGAAUCUUCGGCAAUGGGCGAAAGCCUGACCGAGCGACGCCGCGUGGUGGAUGAAGGCCCUCGGGUUGUAAACACCUGUUGAGGGGGAGGAAUUUUGACCGAUCCCUUGAGGAAGCACGGGCUAAGUUCGUGCCAGCAGCCGCGGU
rnacentral:rRNA from 1 species